UGGCCCAUGGACAGGUUGUUGCUCGCCAGGACCCUCRCAUCCUUCUCCACAGAGCUGCUUUCCAGCAGAUCAGCCCCCAGCCUGUACUGGUGCAGGGGGUUAUCAUAAAUUUUGCAGCAAAUUUUUUGUUAAUCGGUACUGCCAUCACUCAAUAAUCUCCUUUUUCAAUGUGUCCCAUAUGCCCAUAAUACCACCUAAACUGGCUUAAUUUUUCCCCUUCCACUUCCAAAUCUUCAGGUCUAUAUGGCUCCAUGUUCCAGGGAAGCAGAGAACGCAGAAACUCAAAGGAAAUACCACAAACGCCUGCUGACUGUUUUUUUCUAACAAUUCCUGCAAAAACACUUCAGCCUUUUUCUGUGGCUUCAGCACAUGUCACACAGUGAGUCUGCAGCCAGAAGCAUGCGUGUGUAAGCAGGUAAAUGAUUAUCCAGAGAGAUGAGGCAAUGUGGUUUCACCUGCAAUGYGAAACUUCCUGGCCUCCGUGACCUUCUUGAUAAGACCAGCCCUACUCAGCAUGGCAGGAGCACACCUUUGGAAGACAAGGCAAAGAAGCAAAGGGAAGGACAGGAGGUGUUGACUGAGUGAUCUUACAGAAUACAAAACUCCAUUGUAUCUUGUUAUCUCAGGUGCUGUUUGCCUGCGGAUGUACAGCGAGAAGCCCGGCAGCAGCAGACGUGCGGUAACACUGAGGUCACACACACCGGGACAGUAAACCGCGGGCAYCCCUCUUCCCCGGACAGCCUAAACCUGCGCCACGAAGGAAGGGUCGAGUGAGGGAAUUCUCCUCUUUCGGGAACACGGACACCKCCUUCCCGCGGGGCCAGCGCCCGCCGCCGGACUACAGCUCCCAGMAAGCCUUGCGCCGCCUCCAUCUUCCCCCUCACCAACACCGGGGGUUGCGCUGUAGAAACAAAACUCCUCGUUGAAAUAAAACCCGUCCUUGAACAAAACUUUCUCAGAGUGUGCUCUGAGCCUGCAGUGAGGCGGGCAGCCGAAAGAGAUCCUCAAAUUAGCCAAAUCAGCCUUCAUGACCUCGUUGGGUUCACUUUGGCAGGAGGCCAGAGUAUUCACUCCCGCGCUGCUCUGCCUCCCAGAGGAGCUGUAAAGCCGCGUUUCUUCGUGGAGGCGAUGUAGUGUCCUGGGAAAGUCCUCAAAA